rnacentral:lncRNA from 1 species
GCAGCAGAAGGGAAAAGAAAAAAUAAUGGAAUAUUUUCUGUCCACAAUUGGUUGAAUCUGUGGAUGUGGAAACUGCAGAUACAGAUGGAGAGCUGACUAUACUAGCUUUUUGUUUCAUUUUUCACUUCUGGAACAAGAGGAUUUAUCUGACUCAACUGGAGAUGGCUCCCUUCCCUAAUUUAUUGUUGCAUCCUGAAGCUUCCCCCAUGCUGGGCUCAGUGUGAACAAACAGCGCGGGAGAAUGCAACCACUGCAGAGAGUGGUUGAUCAUACUGUAAAACUCAAAUGUGAAGGGAAGGCUGGAACCUACUGGAAACUGAAUGAAGAUCUAACGAAAAGAAGGAACUUUUAGGAACUAGCAGAGACUUCAAAAUGUUGAGAACUCUCUUUUUUCAUAAGAGAAGAUAAAAACUCUGAUGGUCACACUCAUAAAGACAAAAAACAAAUAAAAAACAAACAAAAACUCAGAAUCACAAGAGCAAAGAAAAUGUAGGUAAAACAAUAACAGAAGAGGUAAAGAAAUUUAUGUGAAUUGGGACACUCUGGGGCACAGAACAGAAGAGGAGAAGAAACAUGAAAGUAAUGCUCUGCACAAGGAUGUCUGAGUGUCCUUGAUUCCAAGGGCAUUUAAAAUUAGCCACUGGAUGAGAACCAUGAAAUGCCAUGACUCUUACAGCUCCCAUGAAAGACAUUGGAUGGAACUUAUCCUAACUGGACCAAAUUCUAAAAAAUUUUACAUGAUAUUAUAAUGAGUUGAAAGUUGAAAAAAAAAAACUCUUCUAGAUUACCAAGAAUAAAACACAAAUUUCUAGCUGACUGAAUUAAUUCUCAUUUCUCUAUAGAAAGAUCAUAGAAAUUUUUUUUUAUCAUGCAAAGA